rnacentral:rRNA from 1 species
UACGAAGGGGGCUAGCGUUGCUCGGAAUCACUGGGCGUAAAGGGUGCGUAGGCGGGUCUUUAAGUCAGGGGUGAAAUCCUGGAGCUCAACUCCAGAACUGCCUUUGAUACUGAAGAUCUUGAGUUCGGGAGAGGUGAGUGGAACUGCGAGUGUAGAGGUGAAAAUUCGUAGAUAUUCGCAAGAACACCAGUGGCGAAGGCGGCUAUCUGGACGGUUUCUGACGCUAAGACGCGAAAGCGUGGGGAGCAAACAGG